rnacentral:rRNA from 1 species
CCUACGGGGGGCAGCAGUGGGGAAUAUUGGACAAUGGGGGCAACCCUGAUCCAGCCAUGCCGCGUGUGUGAAGAAGGCCCUCGGGUUGUAAAGCACUUUCAGUGAGGAAGAACGCCUGGUGGUUAAUACCCAUCAGGAAAGACAUCACUCACAGAAGAAGCACCGGCUAACUCCGUGCCAGCAGCCGCGGUAAUACGGAGGGUGCGAGCGUUAAUCGGAAUUACUGGGCGUAAAGCGCGCGUAGGUGGCUUGAUAAGCCGGUUGUGAAAGCCCCGGGCUCAACCUGGGAACGGCAUCCGGAACUGGAAAGGUAGGGUGCAGGAGAGGAAGGUAGAAUUCCCGGGGUAGCGGGGAAAUGAGGAGAGAGCGGGAGGAAUACCAGUGGCGAAGGCGGCCUUCUGGACUGACACUGACACUGAGGUGCGAAAGCGUGGGUAGCAAACAGGAUUAGAUACCCGGGUAGUC